CCCCCAGUAGCUCAGCGGUAGAGCGGCGGGUUUAUACCCCGUUUGCGCCAGAUAAGCGGCAGGUCGCACGUUCGAAUCGUGCCUGGGGGACCA
rnacentral:tRNA from 1 species